rnacentral:rRNA from 1 species
GACAGAGGGUGCAAACGUUGUUCGGAAUUACUGGGCGUAAAGCGCGUGUAGGCUGCUCGGAAAGUCGGAUGUGAAAGCCCUGGGCUCAACCUAGGAAGUGCAUUCGAAACUUCUGAGCUGGAGUGCUGGAGAGGAAGGCGGAAUUCUCGGUGUAGAGGUGAAAUUCGUAGAUAUCGAGAGGAACACCUGCGGCGAAGGCGGGUUGCUGGGCUGACACUGACGCUGAGGCGCGAAAGCUAGGGGAGCGAACGGG